GAUGAACGCUGGCGGCGUGCCUAAUACAUGCAAGUCGAGCGAAGAGACGAGGAGCUUGCGGUGCUGACGUUAGCGGCGGACGGGUGAGUAACACGUGGAUAACCCACCUAUUAGGCUUGGAUAACGUCGAGAAACGGUAGCUAAUACCGUAUAAUAUAUUUAACCGCAUGGUUGAAGGGUAAAAGACGGUUUUGCGGUGACGUAUAGAUGGAUCCGCGCCGCAUUAGCUAGUUGGUAAGGUAACGGCUUACUAAGGCAACGAUGCGUAGCCGACAUGAGCGGGUGGUCGGCCACCCUGGAACUGGGACACGGUCCAGAGUCCUACGGGAGGCAGCAGUAGGGAAUCUGCCGCAAUGGGCGAAGGCCUGACGCAGCAACGCGGGGUGAGUGAUGAAGGUCUUCGGAUCGUAAAAUUCUGUUAUUAGGGAAGAACAAAUGUGUAAGUACCUAGGCACGUCUUGACGGUACCUAAUCAGAAAGCCCCGGCUAACUACGUG
rnacentral:rRNA from 1 species